rnacentral:rRNA from 1 species
AUUGAACGCUGGCGGCAGGCCUAACGCAUGCAAGUCGAACGGUAGCAGGGAGCAGCUUCCUUCUUUCCUGGCGAGUGGCGGGCGUGAUGGUUAUGACUGGGCCACGGCCUGGUGGAUAGGGUUCGCUACUGGGAGCGAUAACUACAUACGCCUAGCGUCACAAAACCAGGGAUCUUCGCAUUCCACGCUAUCACCUUCGCCUAGGUGGGAUUAGCUAGUAGGUGGGGUAAGGGCCAACCAAGGCGACGAUCCGUAGCUGGUCUGAGAGGAUGAUCAGUCACACUGGAACUGAGACACGGUCCAGACUCCUACGGGAGGCAGCAGUGGGGAAUAUUGCACAAUGGGCGAAAGCCUGAUGCAGCCAUGCCGCGUGUAUGAAGAAGGUCUUCGGAUUGUAAAGCACUUUCAGCUGGGAGGAAGGGAGGAAAGUUAAUACCUUUGCGCAUUGACGUUACCAGCAGAAGAAGCACCGGCUAACUCCGUG